rnacentral:rRNA from 1 species
GGAAUAUUGGGCAAUGGGGGGAACCCUGACCCAGCCAUGCCGCGUGAGGGAAGUAGGCCCUACGGGUCGUGAACCUCUUUUAUGUGGGGACAACGGCGUCGUCGUGAACGUCGCGUGCGGGUACCACAUGAAUAAGCAUCGGCUAACUCCGUGCCAGCAGCCGCGGUAAUACGGAGGAUGCGAGCGUUAUCCGGAUUCAUUGGGUUUAAAGGGUGCGCAGGCGGCCCGUUAAGUCAGCGGUGAAAGUCAGGGGCCCAACCCCGGAAGUGCCGUUGAUACUGUCGGGCUGGAAUGCGGUCGAGGCGGGCGGAAUGUGGUGUGUAGCGGUGAAAUGCAUAGAUAUGCCACAGAACGCCGAUAGCGAAGGCAGCUCGCCAGGCCUGCAUUGACGCUCGGGCACGAAAGCGUGGGGAUCAAACA